GAUGAACGCUGGCGGCGUGCCUAAUACAUGCAAGUCGAACGCUGGAGAUCUAGCUUGCUAGAUCGAAGGAGUGGCGCACGGGUGAGUAAUACAUAAGCAACCUACCCACGAAGACUGGGAUAAUCUCUGGAAACGGGGACUAAUACCGGAUAGGUAAUCGGAAGGCAUCUUCUGUUUAUUAAAGGUUAAAAACACUGGUGGAUGGGCUUAUGGCGCAUUCGUUAGUUGGUGAGGUAACGGCCCACCAAGACGAUGAUGCGUAGCCGGCCUGAGAGGGUGAACGGCCACAUUGGGACUGAGACACGGCCCAGACUCCUACGGGAGGCAGCAGUAGGGAAUUUUCGGCAAUGGGGGCAACCCUGACCGAGCAACGCCGCGUGAGUGAAGACGGCCUUCGGGUUGUAAAGCUCUGUUGUAAGGGAAGAACGGUAGAUAGAGAAUAUCUAAGUGACGGUACCUUACCAGAAAGCCACGGCUAACUACGUG
rnacentral:rRNA from 1 species